UAAAUAUUGAUAAUUUAAAUUUCCAUCUAGACUCAAAAGUGAAGGCGUCAUCUCCCCCGCCAGUAGUACAGGACUGUUCGACACUGCACCAUGCUGGAGUCAAGGGUAGCGGAGUGUACCAGGUGUUCCCCUUCACCUUCCAAGUCUACUGCGAGAUGGAGACAAACGGAGGCGGCUGGACCGUCAUACAGCGACGGCAGCCCCAGGAUGUGCAGCAGAACUUCGCUCGGGAUUGGGCAGACUACCGACAAGGAUUUGGCCAACUGGAUGAAGAAAUGUGGAUAGGCUUGGAGGCACUGCACCAACUCACCUACAGCGCCUCCUACGAGCUCAGGGUGGACAUGGUCGACUAUCAACUCGGACCCAAAUACGCCCAUUACAAGGUCUUACAUUCAGAAUUACUG